AGAUGAAAGUGUGGGACCUUCGGGCCACAUGCCAUAGGAUGAGCCCAAGUGGGAUUAGGUAGUUGGUGAGGUAAAGGCUCACCAAGCCGACGAUCUCUAGCUGGUCUGAGAGGAUGACCAGCCACACUGGGACUGAGACACGGCCCAGACUCCUACGGGAGGCAGCACUGGGGAAUAUUGCGCAAUGGGGGCAACCCUGACGCAGCCAUGCCGCGUGAAUGAAGAAGGCCUUCGGGUUGUAAAGUUCUUUCGGUAGCGAGGAAGGCAUUUAGUUUAAUAGAAUAGGUGAUUGACGUUAACUACAGAAGAAGCACCGGCUAACUCCGUGCCAGCAGCCGCGGUAAUACGGAGGGUGCGAGCGUUAAUCGGAAUAACUGGGCGUAAAGGGCACGCAGGCGGUGACUUAAGUGAGGUGUGAAAGCCCCGGGCUUAACCUGGGAAUUGCAUUUCAUACUGGGUCGCUAGAGUACU
rnacentral:rRNA from 1 species